rnacentral:rRNA from 1 species
UACAGAGGGUGCAAGCGUUAAUCGGAAUUACUGGGCGUAAAGCGUGUGUAGGUGGUUGGAUAAGUUAGAUGUGAAAUCCCCGGGCUUAACCUGGGCAUUGCGUUUAAGACUGUUCAACUAGAGUACUGUAGAGGAUAGUGGAAUUUCCAGUGUAGCGGUGAAAUGCGUAGAUAUUGGAAGGAACACCAGUGGCGAAGGCGACUAUCUGGAUAGAUACUGACACUGAGACACGAAAGCGUGGGGAGCAAACAGG